AGUGAACGCUGGCGGUAGGCCUAACACAUGCAAGUCGAACGGCAGCACAGUAAGAGCUUGCUCUUACGGGUGGCGAGUGGCGGACGGGUGAGGAAUACAUCGGAAUCUACUUUUUCGUGGGGGAUAACGUAGGGAAACUUACGCUAAUACCGCAUACGCCCUACGGGUGAAAGCAGGGGAUCUUCGGACCUUGCGCGAUUGAAUGAGCCGAUGUCGGAUUAGCUAGUUGGCGGGGUAAAGGCCCACCAAGGCGACGAUCCGUAGCUGGUCUGAGAGGAUGAUCAGCCACACUGGAACUGAGACACGGUCCAGACUCCUACGGGAGGCAGCAGUGGGGAAUAUUGGACAAUGGGCGCAAGCCUGAUCCAGCCAUACCGCGUGGGUGAAGAAGGCCUUCGGGUUGUAAAGCCCUCUUGUUGGGAAAGAAAAGCAGCAGGUUAAUACCCCGCUGUUCUGACGGUACCCAAAGAAUAAGCACCGGCUAACUUCGUG
rnacentral:rRNA from 1 species